CUGAGAAAGGUUAGGUCAACAUGCUCAUAGCUAUAAAUACCUUGAUCAAUAUUUGAACUCAGAUCUUCUGGACUUGGACAAGCCCAGCACUCCAUGAAGUAUACCACCUAGCUGCCUCUAAAAAAAAAUCUCUGUGAAAGAAUGCAAAUUGAAAAGAAGCAAAACCAGAAGGAAAGAGUACAUACCAUGACAUAGAAGAGAACAAUAUAAUGAAAAGGAAUGGACAAAGAAUCUUGAUGGAGGCUGAGACAAUAUGGCCCUAGUUAUCGAAAGCAGUGAAAUUCAGAUUUUCAAGUGGCUUCUUUGAGAAAUCCACUGUGAUACAUCUUUUCUUCAACCCAGUAUCAGUCAAGGCACAGUGAAUUUCAGGGUUACAAGUUGCUUGACUGGGGAGAAUACAAGGAGCCAUCUUCAGCCUAAUGAAGCUACAAGUAUACAUGGGGAAAAAAAUGAAGGGAAAACUAUAGCUCCUCCAGGUCAAGCAGCUGCUGCAAGUGAAGUCUUAGACUUAAUCUGAUGAACUGGCCAAAUCUUAAUUUCUCUAUCAGAGAACAGAAGGGAAAGGUCAAAAGGAAAAGGAAAGGAAAGAAUAUUCUUUGAGCCUUUGAUGGAUGCCUAUUUACCCUAUCCACUCUAUGGAAGUGCUGCUAUAGACCUCUCCAUUAUGCCUGCCUAGCUCUGAAGGAGAGAUGAGAAAAUGUAUUUCCUUCCAUUUUUGCAGAAAUUGAUGUGGAAUUCUUCAUAUAUCCAUACAAGCAUAGACUUAGAGCUGCAAGCAACUUCAGGUAUCAUCUAGUUCAGCCUCUAAUUUUGCAAUAUGGAAACUGAGCCCAGGAGAAUGAAUGACUUAGCCAAGGUCAUACUGUAUAUAUAUGGAGAGAGAGAAGAGGGGAGAGGACACCAGUGCUCUUUCAGCACAGCUCUCAGAUUUGGUUAACAUAUUCGUUGCUUUUGCUAAAUUGCUUCUCUCCUCUCUCUCUCUGUCUCUGUGUCUCUGUCUCUCUCU